rnacentral:ncRNA from 1 species
CAACCUCAACUCAUAUGGGACUACCCCCUGAAUUUAAGCAUAUUAAUUAGGGGAGGAAAAGAAACUAACAAGGAUUUUCUUAGUAGCGGCGAGCGAAAAGAAAUCAGUUCAGCACUAAGUCACUUUGUCUAUAUGGCAAAUGUGAGAUGCAGUGUACGGAACAUCAACAUUCUAGUAUGAGAAGUUAACGAUUUAAGUCCUUCUUAAAUGAGGCCAUUUACCCAUAGAGGGUGCCAGGCCCGUAUAACGUUAAUGAUUACUAGAUGGUGUUUCCAAAAGAGUCGUGUUGCUUGAUAGUGCAGCACUAAGUGGGUGGUAAACUCCAUCUAAAACUAAAUAUAACCAUGAGACCGAUAGUAAACAAGUACCGUGAGGGAAAGUUGAAAAGAACUCUGAAUAGAGAGUUAACUAGUACGUGGGGGUGCUUAGAGGUUAAGCCCGAUGAAACCUGAAUAUCCGUUAUGGAAAAUUCAUCAUUAGAAUUGUAAUAUUUUAAACAAUAUUAUAAUAAUAGUGUGCAUUUUUUCCAUAUAAGGACAUUGUAAUCUAUUAGCAUAAAUAUUUAUCAUAAAAUUAUGUCUGAUUGCUUAUUUGAAUUAUAUGCUUGGCAUUUUAACAUAAAAUAAAAGAUAUAAAUUUGAUAAAGUGCUGAUAGAUUUAUAUGAUUACAGUGCGUUAAUUUUUCGGAAUUAUAUAAUGGCAUAAUUAUCAUUGAUAUUUGUGUUUAUUAUAUGCAUUUGUAUGAUUAACAAUGCGAAAGAUUCAGGAUACCUUCGGGA